UAGGUAACCUGCCUUGUAGCGGGGGAUAACUAUUGGAAACGAUAGCUAAUACCGCAUAACAAUGGAUGACACAUGUCAUUUAUUUGAAAGGGGCAAUUGCUCCACUACAAGAUGGACCUGCGUUGUAUUAGCUAGUAGGUGAGGUAAUGGCUCACCUAGGCGACGAUACAUAGCCGACCUGAGAGGGUGAUCGGCCACAUUGGGACUGAGAUACGGCCCAGACUCCUACGGGAGGCAGCAUG
rnacentral:rRNA from 1 species